CUUCCUACGGGACGCAGCAGUAGGGAAUUUUCGGCAAUGGGCGAAACCCUGACGCAGCAACGCCGCGUGCAGGAAGAAGGUCUUCGGAUUGUAAACUGUUGUCGCAGGGGAAGAAGACAGUGACGGUACCCUGUGAGAAAGUCACGGCUAACUACGUGCCAGCAGCCGCGGUAAUACGUAGGUGACAAGCGUUGUCCGGAUUUACUGGGUGUAAAGGGCGCGUAGGUGGGAUAGCAAGUCAGUCGUGAAAUGCCGAGGCUUAACCUCGGAGCUGCGAUUGAAACUGUUAUUCUUGAGUAUCGGAG
rnacentral:rRNA from 1 species